rnacentral:piRNA from 1 species
UAAAGUUGAGAUUAUAAGUAGGGGUC